GAAAAAAUCUGAAGUUACUGAAAGAAAUUUCCUGUGGUUAAUUUAUAGAACAGCAUCAGAGAUGAGCAGACACUGCUAACAAGCCCUUUCAACUUCCCAGUAAAUUCCACAACUUGCCAGCUCUAGUCAUCCAUGCUCUCCAAAUGGAGCUAUCUUGUGUUAGUUCUUAAAGCCUUUACUUGUCACUCAGAAUCCUGAAGCAGUUCAGAGGAAGAUCAAUGAAAUGCAAGUCUCAGAGAUUACUAGAGAAAUGGAAGAGCUAAAUGUGAUCUUAACUACUCAUUACCUGGGAAGAGAACAAUGACUCAUGUCAACUUCAGAAAGUUAAACAGCCUUUAAGAAACUAUCAUGACUCACAAGUACUGCGUGCACACACAUAAAAUCUGUUUCUCAGCUCAAGGCAUUUAGUCCUCCUAUAGAGAAACUAAGCUUUCUUCUCCUUGAACUUGCACCAGCCUUAUAUUUAAUGUAAUUGCCUUGACAUCAGACAGCCAAUUGAUUUAGAGGGGUAGCUGCUACAUAUGAGUUACUUGCUGACUGGGUUACAUGAACUAUUCACCUAUAAACUGAUGUGAAAUAGCACACAAUAAGAAUGAACUGUUUUUCUUUUCCUCUUUUCCCUAACAAAUAUUGAAAGAGUUUGCUUUAGAUUGCAAGUAAAGCAAGUCUCAGAAUCAAA